rnacentral:rRNA from 1 species
UACGGAGGGUGCAAGCGUUAUCCGGAUUCACUGGGUUUAAAGGGUGCGUAGGUGGGUUGAUAAGUCAGUGGUGAAAUCCCCGAGCUUAACUUGGGAACUGCCAUUGAUACUAUUGAUCUUGAAUACCGUGGAGGUCAGCGGAAUAUGUCAUGUAGCGGUGAAAUGCUUAGAUAUGACAUAGAACACCAAUUGCGAAGGCAGCUGGCUACGCGAAUAUUGACACUGAUGUACGAAAGCGUGGGGAUCAAGCAGG